UUAAGUUCAGCGGGUAGUCCUACCUGAUUUGAGAUCAAACGUUCAAAAGCUGUCUUCGCUGAGGAGAGACAUUUGUGAGCUCCAGCGAACCUCCAUUGCUGAAGGUUACCUGGUGGGAGACCACGAGCGUAGAUAGUUAUCACACCCGUGACGCCACCAAACACUGGCAAGCUGAUUCAUUUGAGAGGAGCCGACGGUAU
rnacentral:misc_RNA from 1 species